AGGGGCGGAGCUGCUUUGCGGCCGGCCGCGGAGCAGUCAGCCGACUACAGAGAAGGGUAAUCGGGUGUCCCCGGCGCCGCCCGGGGCCCUGAGGGCUGGCUAGGGUCCAGGCCGGGGGGGACGGGACAGACGAACCAGCCCCGUGUAGGAAGCGCGACAAUGCCCCGCUACGGAGCGUCACUCCGCCAGAGCUGCCCCAGGUCCGGCCGGGAGCAGGGACAAGACGGGACCGCCGGAGCCCCCGGACUCCUUUGGAUGGGCCUGGUGCUGGCGCUGGCGCUGGCGCUGGCGCUGGCGCUGGCUCUGUCUGACUCUCGGGUUCUCUGGGCUCCGGCAGAGGCUCACCCUCUUUCUCCCCAAGGCCAUCCUGCCAGUGUACCCUGCUGUGGGUAACCAUGAAAGCACACCUGUCAAUAGCUUCCCUC
rnacentral:lncRNA from 1 species